rnacentral:lncRNA from 1 species
CUUUUGACCCCUGUGUUUAGGACGACUCAGGGUUAAACUGUCAACCCUGAUGAGAUCAUCCAAAUCGUGCUCAACUCAAUUAGUCCUGUGACUCCUCACUAGGACUACCCUGACCAAGGUUUUACUAAAUUGAAAUACGACUGUACACAGCUCCUAAACUGGAGUGGUCAAUCCCAUCUUGACACACGCACCGACAAGUCAAGUACUUGACUACACCCAGCAGCCUUCCAUCACUGAAUUAGAAAUUCAGGUAGUCCAGUGCCUAAGUGUAGUGAGUUGCUUGCAAGUCACCGUGGCGGUCUCAGGU